rnacentral:rRNA from 1 species
CCUACGGGAGGCAGCAGUGGGGAAUAUUGGACAAUGGGCGCAAGCCUGAUGCAGCGACGCCGCGUGAGUGAAGAAGGCCUUCGGGUCGUAAAGCUCUGUCCUAGGGGAAGAUAAUGACGGUACCCUAGGAGGAAGCCCCGGCUAACUACGUGCCAGCAGCCGCGGUAAU